CCUACGGGAGGCAGCAGUGAGGAAUAUUGGUCAAUGGACGAGAGCCUGAACCAGCCAAGUCGCGUGAAGGAUGACGGCCCUAUGGGUGGUAAAUUUCUUUUAUCUGGGAAUAUAGUGGCCCAUGUGUGGGAAUUUAGAUGUACCCUAUGACGAAGCAUCGGCUAACUCCGUGCCAGGAUCCGCGGUAAUACGGAGGGUGCGAGCGUUAUCCGGAUUUAUUGGGUUUAAGGGGAGUGUAGGGGGGUUUGUAGGUCAGUGGUGAAAGUCUGCGGUUUAACCGUAGAACUGCAGUUGACACUGGCAGUCUUGAGUACAGGAGAGGUAGGCGGAAUUCGUGGUGUAGCGGUGAAAUGCUUAGAUAUCACGAAGAACUCCGAUUGCGAAGGCAGCUCACUGGACUGCAACUGACGCUGAGGCUCGAAAGUGUGGGUAUCAAACAGGAUUAGAUACCCGAGUAGUC
rnacentral:rRNA from 1 species